GACGAACGCUGGCGGCGUGCCUAAUACAUGCAAGUCGAGCGGACUGAAUGGGAGCUUGCUCUUGUUCGGUCAGCGGCGGACGGGUGAGUAACACGUGGGCAACCUGCCCGCAAGACCGGGAUAACUCCGGGAAACCGGAGCUAAUACCGGAUAACACCGAAGACCGCAUGGUCUUUGGUUGAAAGGCGGCGCAAGCUGCCACUUGCGGAUGGGCCCGCGGCGCAUUAGCUAGUUGGUGAGGAAACGGCUCACCAAGGCGACGAUGCGUAGCCGGCCUGAGAGGGUGACCGGCCACACUGGGACUGAGACACGGCCCAGACUCCUACGGGAGGCAGCAGUAGGGAAUCUUCCGCAAUGGGCGAAAGCCUGACGGAGCGACGCCGCGUGAGCGAAGAAGGCCUUCGGGUCGUAAAGCUCUGUUGUGAGGGACGAAGGAGCGCCGUUUGAAGAAGGCGGCGCGGUGACGGUACCUCACGAGGAAGCCCCGGCUAACUACGUG
rnacentral:rRNA from 1 species